rnacentral:rRNA from 1 species
UACGGAGGGUGCAAGCGUUAUCCGGAUUCACUGGGUUUAAAGGGUGCGUAGGCGGGUAGGUAAGUCAGUGGUGAAAUCUUCGAGCUUAACUCGGAAACUGCCUUUGAUACUAUCUAUCUUGAAUAUUGUGGAGGUAAGCGGAAUAUGUCAUGUAGCGGUGAAAUGCUUAGAUAUGACAUAGAACACCUAUUGCGAAGGCAGCUUACUACGCAUAUAUUGACGCUGAGGCACGAAAAGCGUGGGGGAUCAAAACAGG